rnacentral:rRNA from 1 species
UGUAGAGAAUCUGCCCUGUACUGGGGGACAACGAGAGGGAAACUUCUGCUAAUACCCCAUAUGAGCGUACCUGCGAUGGUAUUCUUGAAAGUUCCGGCGGUACAGGAUGAGUCUGCAUCUGAUUAGCUAGUUGGUGGUGUAAUGGACUACCAAGGCGACGAUCAGUAGCUGGUUUGAGAGGAUGAUCAGCCACAAUGGGACUGAGACACGGCCCAUACUCCUACGGGAGGCAGCAG